rnacentral:sRNA from 1 species
UGAGUCGUGAGGAAUAGCGCCACACGGGGUGGAAACAAGGACACACUCCCGGGAUGCGUUUUUGG